AAUGAAUAUUGUUCAUUUAAGAUUAUUUUUCAUACCACAUACAGAUAUUUAUUUUUGUUUAAUGGCUUUUAGAAUUGUACAGAAUCCCAUUAUCUUACAUGAGAAUUGAUAUUGUAUUAAUAAAGAUGUGCACAUACUUAUAUUAUUUCAAAACUGUUUAUACAUGUGUACAUGUAACUUAAACACUCCUAUGAAGGGGCAAUGGUUCCAGAUUUGGUUCAAGCAACUGUCUUGAAAACCAUGAGUUUACUCAAAAGCAUGUGGAAUUUAUUUAAUCCACAAUACACAAAAGCCCCUACUUAUUAAUCCCUGCUAUGGGCAAAUGCCCAAUUAUAGAUAGCAAAGACCUUUUGGAAUGGGAUCAGGACCACCAGAGAUGGGAUCAUGGUAAAAGACAGAUCUAGAGGGCACAAAGUGAGUUGAUGAUGGAUAAUUGCCAUAAAUCAGUACACUUUUCCCUCAGUGAUCAGUAUAAUUUGUGUAAAUUGAGGUCUUGUUACUAAACUGGUUGGAAAUUGUGUAUAGAAAACUGUUUUAAGCUUCCAACUUCUUCCUUUACGAAACCUGCAUUUGUUUCUUAAACAAAGGUUGUUAAUGUGAUACAUUUCAUCAACCCUAUUCUGACUGUACAUAACAUUUUCACUCCCAAUAAAAUUUUUUAUUUUCAUGUUUUAUAUUUUU
rnacentral:lncRNA from 1 species